ensembl:rRNA 5S_rRNA 5S ribosomal RNA
UAUUAUGGCUGUACCAUCUUGAAUGUGAAUGAUCUCAUCUGAUCUCAGAAGUUAAGAAGGGUCAGACCUGAUUAAUACUUAGAUAGCACACCACCUGGAUACAGGUGCAAUAGAAA